rnacentral:rRNA from 1 species
GAUGAACGCUGGCGGCGUGCCUAAUACAUGCAAGUCGAGCGAACGGACGAGAAGCUUGCUUCUCUGAUGUUAGCGGCGGACGGGUGAGUAACACGUGGAUAACCUACCUAUAAGACUGGGAUAACUUCGGGAAACCGGAGCUAAUACCGGAUAAUAUUUUGAACCGCAUGGUUCAAAAGUGAAAGACGGUCUUGCUGUCACUUAUAGAUGGAUCCGCGCUGCAUUAGCUAGUUGGUAAGGUAACGGCUUACCAAGGCAACGAUGCAUAGCCGACCUGAGAGGGUGAUAGGCCACACUGGAACUGAGAGACGGUCCAGACUCCUACGGGAGGCAGCAGUAGGGAAUCUUCCGCAAUGGGCGAAAGCCUGACGGAGCAACGCCGCGUGAGUGAUGAAGGUCUUCGGAUCGUAAAACUCUGUUAUUAGGGAAGAACAUAUGUGUAAGUAACUGUGCACAUCUUGACGGUACCUAAUCAGAAAGCCACGGCUAACUACGUG